GUGUGAAGAAGGCCUUCGGGUUGUAAAGCACUUUCAGUCGUGAGGAAGGCGGUGUAGUUAAUAGCUGCAUCGUUUGACGUUAGCGACAGAAGAAGCACCGGCUAACUCCGUGCCAGCAGCCGCGGUAAUACGGAGGGUGCGAGCGUUAAUCGGAAUUACUGGGCGUAAAGCGCAUGCAGGUGGUUUGUUAAGUCAGAUGUGAAAGCCCGGGGCUCAACCUCGGAAUUGCAUUUGAAACUGGCAGACUAGAGUACUGUAGAGGGGGGUAGAAUUUCAGGUGUAGCGGUGAAAUGCGUAGAGAUCUGAAGGAAUACCGGUGGCGAAG
rnacentral:rRNA from 1 species